AGUGAACGCUGGCGGUAGGCCUAACACAUGCAAGUCGAACGGCAGCACAGUAAGAGCUUGCUCUUACGGGUGGCGAGUGGCGGACGGGUGAGGAAUACAUCGGAAUCUACUUUUUCGUGGGGGAUAGCGUAGGGAAACUUACGCUAAUACCGCAUACGACCUACGGGUGAAAGCAGGGGAUCUUCGGACCUUGCGCGAUUGAAUGAGCCGAUGUCGGAUUAGCUAGUUGGCGGGGUAAAGGCCCACCAAGGCGACGGUCCGUAGCUGGUCUGAGAGGAUGAUCAGCCACACUGGAACUGAGACACGGUCCAGACUCCUACGGGAGGCAGCAGUGGGGAAUAUUGGACAAUGGGCGCAAGCCUGAUCCAGCCAUACCGCGUGGGUGAAGAAGGCCUUCGGGUUGUAAAGCCCUUUUGUUGGGAAAGAAAAGCAGCAGGUUAAUACCCCGCUGUUCUGACGGUACCCAAAGAAUAAGCACCGGCUAACUUCGUG
rnacentral:rRNA from 1 species